GCCAACGUAGCUCAAACGGUAGAGCGGCGCAUUCGUAAUGCGUAGGUUGAGGGUUCGAGUCCCUCCGUUGGCUCCA
rnacentral:tRNA from 1 species